AGAAAGACAAGUUCAGAGAAGGUGGCUCCUGUGGGAAAGCCAGGAGGAUUAAAAAUUCACAUUUUGCAUCGAUUAGAAGCUGCAUAAAUUACUAAUUAUGACCUGGAGCCUUCAGUGCAGAAGGAAGAGGGGUUGCUGAUAUUUCUACAAUAAAUCAGGCUCAGCUGGGAAAGGCCUGAAACUGACAGCAAUAGAAUCAGCUUUAAUGAACAAGGGAAUUUGUGAACCAUUUGUGUGUGUGCCCACACAGGGAUCAGCAAAGCCUCCCCACGUGAGUGGAGACACCACAUUGACACCACAAAUCCUGGGAUGUGACACAAUGAAGAUAAGCCAUCUGUACCCACAUGCAGUGAAAGGAGCAGAGCAGAUCUCCUUGUGGCUCCAAUGCAGAGGAAUAUAUUUAAAAUCAGAGCCAUUUACAAGGAAAACAAAGUAUGUAAAACUACAGAGUGUGAACACCAGAGACCAGGGGAAGAGAACAAGGAAAAACACACAGCAAGGGGCAUCCAGGGGCUCUCAGAUGAUGCUUGCAUUUGAAAUAUGGCAGGGGAGGGGAACAUACAUUCAGGAGCAUUUGGCCAUAAUGCUUUAACAUACUUGCUGAGGUGUCAGUUAAACCCCUUUGCUGCUUCAUCUCAUCUAAGUAUUUCUGCCUGUUGUCAUAAUGGACUUGCAAAUUCCAUUAACCCCCUUCUCUGCAGUCUGUGGGAUUCAUGGGCUGAUGUGCAACCAAAAGAGGCAGUCUGAUCUGGGGAUGCCAGAGUGAUGAAUGUAGUAUAAAUGCCUAGAUAAAGAGAAAUACAGAAAUAGAGUAGAUUAGAUCUGAUAGAAAAAACAGAUAACUGGAUGGAUGGACAGAUACUGGUAGACAGCUUAGACUAGUAGACUCAAUAGUGGGUUAAGUACCAAAAAUCAUGAAAUUAACACUUCUAGUUCAUCUCAUGCCUUGUACCAAUUAAGACUAAUUAAAUGUCAUGCUGACUCAGCUCAAGCCACAUGAUUAUGAUCAGUGACUUCCACAGUCUAUAAACAUAUCAUGGUGCUCUAUGUGAAGCACUGUACAACAGUUAAUCCCGUUCCUGCAAGUGUCACAGCAAAGAGACAACAAGUGUUCCCAGAAGGGAAAUCACAGCCCCAGGUGGUCCAUAAAUGAAUAUUACUGGAACCUGUUGCAUUUUCACCAGGCACAUGGAGAGAUGUUUGCCUCUUUUCUUGAUAUGAUUGCUUGAAAUACCUUUGCAAAUGCUUCAAAAUUAGGCCAAAAUAUCAGAGAGAGAGAAAAAACAAAAAUGGAGUUCUGGGAAGUCAAUAUAGACUUCACACAGUAGCUCUUCAUAGUAUAACUGUCUCUCUCCCUUCUCAAAUGAUUUUGAUAAUUUAAAUCAUAAUCAAUAUAGACAUUGAAUUGUCAUCAUUAGAUUCCAUGGUUAAGUAUCCUUUGAUAUGAAUAGGGGCACUUCACAUCUCUCUCAGAGCUAGUAUUUUAGGCUGUCUGAAGAUUCAGGCCAACCUCCUGGCAUUGGUGUACACUCAGGUUGCAUUUAGAAGGUUAUUUUUGUGGAGCAGAAGGAUUUAAAAUAAAAAGUGAAAACAGAUUCUAAGACAGAAAAUAACAGCUUCCAGGAAAAAGGUUUACCAAACUGCUGUAGACUAGCUCAGUUGGGCCUGUGAAGAGACACCCCAAUCAUGAAGGCUGGGUUUGGGUCUGUGUUUCGAUCCUCCACCCAUCUAAUAGUCAGGGUAUUUAGAUGAAAGAGAGAUCUAUGCAAGGGAUUAAUAAUUCCCAGCAUUAACAACUGAUUGCAUUUGCUUUGGCUAAUUAUCCAUUGGUUUUGCAACAAAACAAGCCUACUGGUGUGGAGGGACUUUCAUGUGCAGGGUGCUGUGGGGUCACUGCCUUACACAUGUGGUGGGAUCUCUUGCACAUAAGUUUUUCUCCUUUCCCAAGCCAUGAAGCAUGGAAUAUCCUUGAUCACUCCCAGCCACAUGACUAUCACAGGCACCUGCUUAAUUAUUUCUGCUUUGUAAACAAAAGCACUGCCAUGAGCUUAAUAACUGCUGCUUGGGACUAAUUGGGGUGAUUAUUAUAUGGCCCAGAGGAAGCAUCACAGCUUGUUAUCUCUGGGGAGUAGCAUUAAGAGCCAGUAGAUAAUCAGAGGGUUAUUUGUAGCACUUUAGAUAACAUUUUAAUGUCUGUAGAAGUGAUUGUGAUCAAGCCGCAUUUCCAAAACCAACCUUGAAUUGGAGAGGCCAUGAGUCCUGUAAGCUGGGCAGCAGCCCACACUACCGCUGGGGGUGACAAAAUUCCAGUGUGACAAUAAUUGGAUAUCAUGAGUUAGUGUUGGGCCAAAUUCCUCUAUGGCAUAAGCCGCUGUAACUCCCUGAUUUCAGGAUAAACUGCACUCACAUUACAGAUGGCUGUGGUCCUGGAUCUUCAAAGCACUUUACACGCAUUGAUUAAUUAAGUCUCAUAAGCCCUCAGGGAAGUUGGUUUGUUUCCUUAACCCAUUUUACAGAGAGGAAAACUUAGGUAUGGCAAAAAGAAAAGGAGUACUUGUGACACCUUAGCACCUUAGUACUUGUGGCACUUCGAGAGCUGUAGCUCACGAAAGCUCAUGCUCAAAUAAAUUGGUUAGUCUCUAAGGUGCCACAAGUCCUCCUUUUCUUUUUGCGAAUACAGACUAACACGGCUGCUACUCUGAAACCUUAGGUAUGGCAGGUGCUCAACCAGAGUCAUACAGAAAAUCAGUGACUGAGCUAAGUUAAGAACUGAAGCGCUUCUGACUCCCUCUCCCAUGUUCUAACCAUUUCUCUUUUUCUGAAGUCCCUGGACAUGGCCUGGAAUGGGAACAUCAUUGCAGUGAGUGAAUGAUGAACUUCAGCCAUCUAAGGUUCAGUGUUGUCUGUCUGUCCAUCCAUCCUCCAAGAUGCUGCCUCAUCAGGCAGUGCCAGUUUAGAAUAAAGAGCAAGCAGGUUUUUACCAGAGGCUGGAAGCUUAAACAACAGAGUUAUUAGAAAGGCUAGAUUCCAGGUAGAGGUGAGGAAAAUCCUUUCUUAAUGAGACCCAAGGCUGCUUAGCUAAGCCGACAGCAUCUGCUGUCAACAGGCCUAGCGCACCCAAGCGCUACAGUGGGGAAGCCAGCUCCCAGGCUCUACUAAUCCCCUUGCAACAUCAUGAAUCCAAAUCCAGCAUUUAAAAAAAAAUAUUUUAUUUUGUUCUGAUGCUUUUUAAUCUUGCAGCUGUUUCCUGGGAAGAGUCAAACUUUUGUGCCUAUUUCAUUAUCAGCAAGUAUCAGCCCAUGACCCCUACAAUAACUCUUGAUGGAUCCCCACUUAUGGCUCCUGGGAGCAUCUAUCCCUUUAAGAGAGCAGGGUGCCCCAGUUUGCUGCCUUUUUUUAUUAAUUUAUUAACAAAAAUCAGCAAAUGGGUAAGGGACCAAUCCUGCACCCACUGAAGUUUUGCUACUGAAUCACUAGCAGCACAACUGGGCCCUUUGGCUUUAAUGUUUUCUCAUUGCAUAAUUGCUGUGCAACCCCUGGAACUCUCACAGGUCACUGCUUCUUCUACCUUCUCUAGCCAGGCCCCUCCCCACUACAGUCCUCCCCUACCAUCACCUGAAUUGGAUGUGGGGACAGGGAGGAGCCUACCAAGAAGAAUUACUGCAUCAAGGAGUCUCCAUACAAGGCCUUCUUAUGCCAAGGCAUGGACCCAGCAGUCACGGAGUGGAUUGAUGAUGACACAACAGCCCCAGGCAGCAGCAGAGCCCCAGGAAACAGGAUCCUGCCACAAACACAGGAAGAUUUCUUGAGCAGAGACAGCCUCUGUUAUUGAUCAUUCAAUCAAUGGUAAUUCAAGGCCCAGUAAUAGCUGCUAGAGACUUUUUUAUUCCUAAAUAUCCAGCCCAGGUUCUGUGCAGGAAGAUUUGUUCAGAGAUUUUAAUGGGAGGAAAAAAAAGGGUCCUCUCCUGCCGCAGGUGGAUUGUCUAACAAAUUGGAUGAGUCAUGAGAUAAAAGGGAUGGAGGAAGGAGAUCUGGUGGAAUUGGCCCUUUAUCUCCAGAGCAUUGGCAGACAAACCCUUGGACAGUGUUUAUUUAGGGUGAGUGGGCAGCGGAGUUGGCAGUCAAGGCGUAGUGAGGAAUUAAAGCUGCUGCCAUCCUUAUCUACCAGACAGGCUGGCAAAGUGUAUGGGGGCGGGGGAUCAUCAGAACUGCGUGCCAGCCCAGGGCAACUGAGUCUGAAGCAGUUUACAAGCCUAGUGAGUCCAAGCUCUAUUAGCUCAGCUGAGGGGAAGAGCCCUGGAGGAUAAACAGACACCAGUUGGGAGCAGAAAAAGGGGACAUGGUCUUUAAACACUGUAUGCUCAGGCAGCCCACUGGACAUUGCAGGGGGGCCUCUGAAAUGAGCACAUCUGAUAGUACUGGACCUUAGGUUAAGGUUUUUCUGCUGUGGCUAAUUGGUUAAGACAUAGCUCAGUCUUGGAAUGUAGGUAGGACAAAGCUAUGCUACCUGUAUCAUAGAAUCAUAGAAUAUCAGGGUUGGAAGGGACCCCUGAAGGUCAUCUAGUCCAAUCCCCUGCUCGAAGCAGGACCAAUUCCCAGUUAAAUCAUCCCAGCCAGGGCUUUGUCAAGCCUGACCUUAAAAACCUCUAAGGAAGGAGAUUCUACCACCUCCCUAGGUAACGCAUUCCAGUGUUUCACCACCCUCUUAGUGAAAAAGUUUUUCCUAAUAUCCAAUCUAAACCUCCCCCACUAACUUGUACUACAGUCCUGCAACAGGAAAGCUCGUUCAGAAGUCCAAGACUUUGGGGAACAUGGUUAAAAAUAGUUUGGUCCAAGGUACACAGCAAGGCUAAGUGAGGUUUUGAGCAGGGAGGAAAUAGCAAACUCAUCUAUUUAGCGGUCCUGCCAAAGAUUAGCAGAGAGAGAGAGAGAGAGGUUACCUGUGUGUGUGAGAGAGCACUAACCCAUCUAUUGGCACUCCUGUGAAACACCUUUCUGUACGCAGGAAAUGGUCUGCAUCAUGCUGCAAUCGUGGCCUUUCAGAGUGAGUGAGAAGGCUGUGAGUCAGCCUACCCGGUCACACCACACUGGACAGAGGACAUCACCCCCUGAGGGAAGGACAGAAGGUUAUAGUGUAGGCCUAGUCUAAAUAGGUUCAUUCACCACCCUCAUUACUCUGUUUUAUGAGGAGUGGAAGUCACAAUCAGCCUUUGGACACACCCAGCUGAUCCAUCCUGAGCUGCAUGUGGCUCUCUGAUGGCAGAUCUAGUCCUGGGACCUGUCAGUCCAUUGCAUGAAUAUGUCACCUGGGUCUCUCCAGACCCUGAGCUUCAUCCCUUUUCCUAGGCUCUCUUUUGGGCUCUGGGAGAUGUCUGCAAAGCACUGAGUGGAUCCUCUUAGGGUUUACAUAGACAAAAAAAACAGGGAAAGUCACUGCUCUAAUCCCCUGGCAAGUCAGUCCCAAAUCCCAGCUGUGCCACAGCCUAUCCAGCAUCAGGUGGGUUAGCUCAGCUUUGAAUGGGUAAUGACAGCUUGGUUUGUUCCAGCCCUUCCCAGGGUCCCCCAAUUCCUGCAUUGUGUGCUUCUAAGUAACUUUUUAAUUGUCCUUGCUUUUGCUGAGAUAGCACCUCAAAACUCAGCCACAGUCUGCUCCUUGCAUGCCGUAUUUAUGCACAGCCUUAAUUGUACCAGGGCUUUGGAACCGAAUCCUUUUCAGACUGAGGGCUCGUGAAGGAUGUAAUACACCAUCUGGCUUUCUGUAGCUGAGGAAGGCAAAGAAUGGACUGCCUGGGAGGAGGGUGCACAUGUGUGCGUGCCACUGCCCUCUGCUCAGUGGAAUCAAGAUACACCUCUACCCCAAUAUAACACGGUUCUCGGGAGCCAAAAAAUCUUACCGCGUUAUAGGUGAAACCGCGUUCUAUCGAACUUGCUUUGGCCUCGAGCAUUUCUGUUAUUAAUAGUCACUUCCUGCCCCCUGACUGACCCUUCAGAACCCCCGA